AUUGAACGCUGGCGGCAGGCUUAACACAUGCAAGUCGAACGAGUGGCGGACGGGUGAGUAAUGCAUGGGAAUGUGGCCCAUGGAGGGGGAUAACGACGGGAAACAGUCGCUAAUACCGCGUACCAUAGGAUGAGCCCAAGGGGGAUUAGGUAGUUGGUGGGGUAAAGGCCCACCAAGCCGAAGAUCCCUAGCUGGUCUGAGAGGAUGACCAGCCACACCGGGACUGAGACACGGCCCGGACUCCUACGGUAGGCAGCAGUGGGGAAUAUUGCGCAAUGGGGGCAACCUGACGCAGCCAUGCCGCGUGAAUGAAGAAGGCCUUCGGGUUGUAAAGUUCUUUCGGUGACGAGGCGUUAAUCACAGAAGAAGCACCGGCUAACUCCGUGCCAGCAGCCGCGGUAAUAC
rnacentral:rRNA from 1 species